AUGAACGCUGGCGGCGUGCUUAACACAUGCCAGUCGCACGGAAAGGCUCCUGCUUGCAGGGGUACUCGAGUGGCGAACGGGUGAGUAACACGUGGGUGAUCUGCCCUGCACUUCGGGAUAAGCCUGGGAAACUGGGUCUAAUACCGGAUAGGACGAUGGUUUGGAUGCCAUUGUGGAAAGUUUUUCGGUGUGGGAUGAGCUCGCGGCCUAUCAGCUUGUUGGUGGGGUAAUGGCCUACCAAGGCGUCGACGGGUAGCCGGCCUGAGAGGGUGUACGGCCACAUUGGGACUGAGAUACGGCCCAGACUCCUACGGGAGGCAGCAGUGGGGAAUAUUGCACAAUGGGCGCAAGCCUGAUGCAGCGACGCCGCGUGGGGGAUGACGGCCUUCGGGUUGUAAACUCCUUUCGCUAGGGACGAAGCGUUUUGUGACGGUACCUGGAGAAGAAGCACCGGCUAACUACGUG
rnacentral:rRNA from 1 species